UGGCCAUCCUGGCCUCCCCAGUCCUCAGGGUCUGGGGAACAGAAAAAGAGCGCGGGGCGGGGGGCCUGGAGGCGGUGGGGUGGAGUGGAGUACAGAACGGCCUUCGUGUCCCUGGCGUCUCCGGAGGGGCUGGCUCCCAGCUCCAUUCUGAGGAGUUGGAAUCCCACCCAGUCCUGUUGUUGUGAUCUCAAUUCAAGAGGAAGGUGUGAUAUGGCUCAGCCUCUAGAGGAUCACAGAGAAGGAGGCUUGUUGUGAAACUGAGUCAGAAGGAUGCUCUUAUAGCAGACUUUCAAGACAACCCUUAGCCCGGGAUAACAACCAGAGGAUGACUGGCCUGAGAACUUGGUAUUCCAGAAAGCAGAAUUCAGGUACACAAGAGAUCAUGAUUCCCUUGAUUCCUCCUCACCCUUUUCACACUCUCUACCUCUUUCUCCCACUCCCUCUCAGCUUCUCUCUCUCUCUCUCUCUCUCUCUCUCUCUCUCUCUCUCUCUCUCUCUCUCUCCCCCUCUCUCUCUCCCUCUCCCCCUCCCUCCCUCCCUCCCUCUCUCUCUCUCUCGGUGCCCAGGGGCAGAGACAACAAUCCGGCCUAAGCAAUCUGGACUCAAGUUGGUAGGGUCAGUAUUUUGGCGGCCAGGGCUUAAUCUGGUUGUGUCAUUGUUUGAAGACUGUCAUUCUCAAGAAUCACACAAACCCUGACAGGACUGGAAGGUCGGUCUUAGGGAAAAUGCCUGAAGUUAGGAUUUACCCAUGGGGCCCAUAUUUUACCCAGUAAGCCAUGUGCUAGAAACGUUUCAAUUGGGAGGACACGCUAGGUGGAGUACCUAUGUCUCUGUCUUGGGGUAUGGCUCCUGGGUGCUCCACACACCACGAACUCACAUCCAAGGCAGGAAGAGGCAUCCCUUCAGAGAAUGUGGCCAGAGGGAACUGAGUGGCUGGAGGCCCGCAUGAACGGGUGGUCAGGAAGGAAGGGUCUGGAGACCAGGGAGCAUGAGAGGCUGGCUGGUCCACGGAGUUGGCCCUUGAUGGCUCAGGAUGGCCUCCAGUGAAUCACCUGUGAGUGAGGUCUUCUUCUCUGCUCAGGGUGGAGGGGAACAAGUCAAUGGAGGAAGAGAGUUAGCUUUGGGAUGAAAGGCCCAAGGCCAUGCGUGAGGGCCAGGAAGACUGGUGGUCUUUCCCUAGCAAAACGUCUUCUUGGUUUCACGACAGUUUCUACAGGCACCUUUCAGAAACAUCUACAAAAAGAAACACACUAGUGCCUAUGGGCACUCACAGAGACACACGAGGCCAGGUCCACCACACUCACUGCAGUUCGGUCUUGGGUCGUGAGGCAGCAAAGCACGGGUUCAGUGUGGGAGGAAAGAACAUGUAUUUCAAAGAUUUCCAAGACAGGGAUCAGAUCCAUUAGAGUCUCCUGACCUGGUAGUAACAGGGACGUGUCCUCCCUCUGAAGGCUCAGGAAAGGAGAAGUUGCCAGGCAAGAUGGGAUUUUUAUUAUGGCCAUCUGGGUUGAAGAGAUACUGAGAGAGGGCAUAUUGCAGUGGAUCGUUGUGCAUUUUGAAACAGUCCUGUCCCCUUUAGAGACCUGAGGCAAGGAACCUUCAUCAGGCAGCAGCCACAGCAAAGAGGAGGAGAGAUCGAGUGAGCAGGAGACAGAGCAGUGACAGAGAGGGGCAGGGAGGCGGCAACACAGACACAGGCAUCAACAGGUAGAUGGAGAGAAUCAGAGCCAGAGACAGAAAGACCGACAGAGAAUCUGGCAGGAUGGAUGGGAAGGGUGACGAUGAAGAAAAUAAGCGGGGGGAGGAAGAAGGGGAGAAAAACUAUUAGCGAUCUCAUGCGUACAUUGGGAAUGCAAACAUUGUCUCCUCCUCUGUCAUCAUUGGUCUUGAGUUUUGACACCAGGAAGGGGACUAACAAAAGGAACGAUAUCUUCACGGAGGCGGCUUGUAUAUUCUGGAACUGUACCUUCUAUGGGGAGACCCGGCCCUUGGGUUCAUAGCUUGUUCCCCUGGGGGCUGAAUGGACUUGGGUCAUAAGGGAAGUUUGUGAUACUUCCAUCAGGCGUGGUUCGCCCUAGCUCGCUAUGUGCUGCUUCUCCCCGUUUUUGAAAAGAAGGCAUCUUCAUGCCACAUCAGGCUUCGCCUCAAAGGAGAACACAUUUGGAGUGCCUUUCAAGUGAUGCAAACUCCCUGUACCAAACCAGUGCACAGAGUUCAUUGGGCAGCACUUUGGCUCAUUUUCCUAGGUAUAGGACAGGCCUAGAUGGGAAAAAGGCAAGGUUUGGUCUCCGAAGUAAACCCGCACUGGGGCUGGUGUUCACUCACUGAAUAGGAUACACUUUGCAAGGAGAAACGUUGCACAUUCAUCUUUUGUGGAGUUUGUGAGAUUUCCGUCCGGCGUGGAUUGCCCUAGGUCACUGUGUGCUGCUUUUUCCCGCUUGUGAAAAGAAGGCGUUUUCAUGCCACAUCAGGCUUCUCCUCAAAGGAGAACACGUUUGGAGUGCCUUUCAAGCGAUGCAAACUCCCUGCACCAAACCAGUGCACAGAGAGCACCUUGGCUCAUUUGCCGUAUGUAUAGGAGUGGCCUAGGUUGGAAAAAGGCAAGGGUUGCUUUCCCGAGCAAACCCGCACUGGGGCUGGUGUUCGUUCACUGAGACAGGAGCUCCUGAGUGUUACAGCUCUUAAAGUCACCUCUUGACCAGGUCAAAAUGACAACGGUCUUCUACCACCUGGCUUUCUUCAGGAAGUGAUAAAAUAUCCCAACCCAACCAGCUCCUGCCCCAGGCAUCCUGUCAGGCCCUAUUGGCCAGAAUAGGGUAAGAUGCUCUCCACACCCCCAGCCACUCCUAACAAAGAGGAAGGGGAGGACCGGGAUGGAUUUCCUGCAGUCACGAUGCAUUCCCAGGUAGCCCAUUGAUUGCAUCAGGAGACCCGAACAGUUCACAUUUUAUUCAUGAGUAUUACUGUGGUUCCGGGUAGAAGAAAUGGCUGCUGGGAAAAUACCAACAAUGUUUGUAAGGACAGUCACGGACCAAAAGUCCGCAGAGGGUAUGGAUUGUCCUUGGAGCUGAAGAAGUCACGGAAGAUAGGGAGUUCCCAUUGUGGGACAGCAGAAGUGAAUCCGAGCAUCAUCCGUGAGAAUUUGGGUUCGAUCCCUGGCCUCACCAGUGGGUCAGGGAUCCAGUGUUGCUGUGAGCUGUGGAGUAGGUUGCAGAUGCAGCUUGGAUCCUGCAUUGCUGGCCCUGUGGUGUAGGCUGGCUGCUGCAGCUCCUAUUAGAGCUCUGGUCUGGGAAGGUCCAUGUACCACGGCUGUGGCCUAAAAAAACAGUUACAGAAAAUAAAGACAGGGGUGCAGUGGUGCCGGCAGCACAUGGGACUAAAGUCUUCAGUGAUGAGCACAACGACAGAGAAGGGACAAAUGACUGCCCAGGAGGAGUGAUGAGGCUGUGUCUAGGAAGGCCACAACCACCUUACCAGACGGGCGGCCUGCUCCCUCUGUUGCCCUGGACCCUCGGGUGUGAGGACCGAUCCUCUGCUCAGAGUCCAGCCUCCUCUGUCCUCCUUGCUUCAUUCUACCUGCAGCCCACCCAUCUUUCUUUGGAUCUGCCUUUCUUUGAGAAGUUAUCCUCUGUAUUGGCUAUCAGGUGGCAGAACCUGUGGACCCAAAAGGAGCAGUUGCACUGGCAGGGACUAGGUGGACCUCGGGUCGCCAUGGAAAACUCUUGGUGGAGCACAGGCAAGAGUUGGGGCGGGAGGACCUGCACCCCAUAAGAAAUACCCACCAGCUCUCAGAUCCUCGAGGGUUGUAGGAGCACCGAGACAUUCAAGCUGGGAAAUGAAGACUGUGAUAGGGCAGAGCGAGACCCAAGCUUCCCCGGGCAAUGGCAGCGUGAGCUCCUGUCCAACUGCCAAAAGAUGAGAGUUGGCAUCUUACCAGAAGGUUUGGAGGGAUAGGAUGAGAGACGCCUGGCCAUUGGCCGGAAGCGCAUGGCGGGGGAGGGGGUUGCGGAAGCUGCCUCGUGAUUGGCCCGGGCCACGGGGAUGUCACAGGGAGGCAUUGUGACUUGAGGGCAAGGCAGUUAUAAAAGCCCAGUGCUUCCACCGUCUCCCAGACGGAGGAUAUGGCUUUUCAGCUGUUCCUGCUCUUGCUCUUCAAGGCGGUGUCCUCUGCCGCCUUCUCUGCACCUGCACAUGGCAUGCCCCAGGCCCACCUGUCCUGCCCCGGGCCUCUCACCCACACUUGGUGUACCACAUUCCUGUUCGCAUCCAGCUUUGAGCCCCUUUGCGGGCGGAUGAGCCUGCGCACCCGCACCCGGCGCCUCCUCCACCCGCAGCCCUCCUCGGGCCUGGCCCAGCUCCUCAACACUGUGCUCAGGUUCUACAACAGGGGCUUGGACGUCUGGAACCAGAACCAAGCAGACCCCCACGCGGAGGGGAAGCAGCCCUCCCAGCCCUGUUGGCCAAGAGACCUGGACACGUGCCACGCCUCCAACUCCACACUGCACAGAAGGCAGCUGGCCACCCCUCCUCAGACAUCCAUGGACCCCAGAUCCAAGAUCUCCACCUUGGCCCUCCUGCUCCACAAAGGAGAGUCACAGACUCACAGGGCGAGUUCCUGUACCUCCUGCCCACCUCCAUGCAACCUCUCAAAGGGCUCUCCAGCCCAUGUGGGACCACCAGCCUGGGUGAGGCGACUGGUCCAGUUAGGGCCACCAGUCCUGGCAGGGCCAAAAGUCCAGGCAAGGCGACCAGCCCAGGUGGGACCACCAGCCCAGGUGAGGACACCAGCCCAGGAAGGACCAGCAGCCCAGAUGGGACCAGUGGCCCUGGUGAUGCUACCACCACAGGUGGGACCAACAGCCCAUGUGGGGACGUUUCCCCAGGCAGGAGCAACAGCCCAAGUGGGGCCACCAAGCCUUGCGGGACCAAUGGCCCCAAUAGGGACAGCAGCCCAGGUGAUGGGGCCACUAGACCAGGCCACGACUCCAGCUGAUGCCAGGCUACCAGCCCAGGCAGGCCCAGCAUACCAGGUGGGGCCACCACUCCAGGCAAGUCCACCCGCCCAGAUGUGUCCGUCACCCCAGGCGAGGCUACCAACCCAGGUGGGGACACCAGCUCCUCUGGUGCCACCAGCCCAGUCAGGUCCACCAGCCCAGGUGGGGCCAACACCCCAGGCGGGGACACCAGCCCAGGCAGGGACACCAGGAUCGGCGAGGAUACCAGCCCAGGCGGAACCAACAUGCCAGGCCAGGCCAACAGCCCAGACGGGGACACCAGCCAUGACAGAAACCCUGUGGUCACAGCUAGGCUUUGGAAACAUUGAGAGUUUGCUCCUUCUGUUGACUCGCUGUGCUCUGGUGCUGCUCUUUUCCUUCUGGACAUUUAUCUCAUGCAGAGAGAUAAAGGACUACCGUGAGUUCCAACAAGAGCAGCUGGCAGAGCUGGGCAAAGGAUUGAAGAUGAUGGGUAAAGCCCUGGGAGAACUUGAGAAGACACUAAAUGCAGAAAGAGAACAUAAAAAUCAUCUUUCCAAGGAGCUGUCUGAGCUGAAGGCAGAGCUCAGAAUUUCUGAAAAGGAAACAGAGAGAUGGAAAAAGCUGUUUUUUCUAUUGUCCCGGGCACAACACCUUUUGAAGGCCUUCCCGGAAGAUGCAAAGGGGCACUGUGUGCAGGUGGAGCAGGGCCCUUAGAGGCAGGCCCAGGCCUGGGAGCUGGAGAGUUUCUUCCUCCCUGUGCACGCCCCCUAGAGGGGGAGAAGAGGGGUGGGGAGGGAGGGCAAAGCGGAGGCUAGGGUAGGGGUGCUGGGACAGAGACGUGGCCUGAAUUUCAUGAUGUAUGUAUAUUUUGAAUAAAUAAUUGAAUGUUGGAAGG
rnacentral:lncRNA from 1 species